rnacentral:rRNA from 1 species
UGAUGUGUAGGAUAGGUGGGAGGCUUAGAAGUGUGGACGCCAGUCUGCAUGGAGCCGACCUUGAAAUACCACCCUUUAAUGUUUGAUGUUCUAACGUUGACCCGUAAUCCGGGUUGCGGACAGUGUCUGGUGGGUAGUUUGACUGGGGCGGUCUCCUCCUAAAGAGUAACGGAGGAGCACGAAGGUUGGCUAAUCCUGGUCGGACAUCAGGAGGUUAGUGCAAUGGCAUAAGCCAGCUUGACUGCGAGCGUGACGGCGCGAGCAGGUGCGAAAGCAGGUCAUAGUGAUCCGGUGGUUCUGAAUGGAAGGGCCAUCGCUCAACGGAUAAAAGGUACUCCGGGGAUAACAGGCUGAUACCGCCCAAGAGUUCAUAUCGACGGCGGUGUUUGGCACCUCGAUGUCGGCUCAUCACAUCCUGGGGCUGAAGUAGGUCCCAAGGGUAUGGCUGUUCGCCAUUUAAAGUGGUACGCGAGCUGGGUUUAGAACGUCGUGAGACAGUUCGGUCCCUAUCUGCCGUGGGCGCUGGAGAACUGAGGGGGGCUGCUCCUAGUACGAGAGGACCGGAGUGGACGCAUCACUGGUGUUCGGGUUGUCAUGCCAAUGGCACUGCCCGGUAGCUAAAUGCGGAAGAGAUAAGUGCUGAAAGCAUCUAAGCACGAAACUUGCC